CAUGCAGAAUGAAGUUAUAAAAGCGUGUCAGACUCGCUCCACUCUGCGUCGAAGCACAGUGGAGAACUGCUGUCAUAACGUAAUUUAAUUUGUUAACGCGUUAUUUUGACAGCCCUCAAAUAUACGAGAAUAAAGUAAUAUUUCAUGUGAGAGGGAAAACAGUGCAUAGCUCUUCAGGAAGGAAGGGAACGUUCCUCUUCCUUCAGACAGGUGAACAGAUUAGCAUGUAGCCAUUCUCACUUCCGCCUUAUUAACUUCGCCCCCUCCACAUGCCCAAGACCAUCGUUCCCGAAAGUCCCCCUUUCAUAGCUGUCUUAGUCAAUGCCUGUAACAGUGUUUUUUCUUGUACAUGUACGACUUGAUUUUGGCAAUUUAUAAUACAAUACUUAUUACAAUAAUAUUAUAACUUUUAUCGCAAAUUCAUGACUCCCUUUAAGGAUUUUUGAUUCUCAAAAUCUCAUGAUUAUUUUAAUACUCCAUCGUUAACAGGCAUUGCGCGAGACAAGGACCUAUAAAAGGACCUUUGGCCUUCUGAUAAAUGUACAACUUUUUUUUUAUUGAUAUCUCUUAUCUUUUGCCAAUGUGGCUCUAAUACUCGUGGGGGCCAAAACCCGGACCCACUGCACCCCUCAACUUUGUAUUUAUCCUGAAAUUUUGUAAAUUAACUGUAUAUACAUUCACACAGACAUACGUAUAUAUGUAUAUACAGUAUGCACUGUUGUCGACUCCUCAGUAGGAAAAGCUGCUACUAGCUGUCCUAAGAGUCUCUAAAUGACAUAAUUGGCUUAUUAAUUGGCUUAUAUGGAUACUAUUUGCAUAUGGCAUUGUCCAUGAAGAAGCUAACCUCAUCGGAGGGACAAAAAGACCUACCGCCUAUCAUCUUGCACACUGACAGCUUGUGGCUACAGAGUUACAGUGCUUCAAACUACAGUGUGGGCCGAGUUAAGGAGUAAGAUUUGAUG